GCAGUCAAGGAGAACGGAUCCUUCGGGAUACUAUUAAACUGGCGAACGGGUGAGUAACACGUAGGCAACUUGCCUUGGAGAUUGGGAUAACCCCGGGAAACCGGGACUAAUACCAAAUAAUGCAGCGUAUCCUUCGGGAUAUGUUGUUAAAGUGGGCUUCGGCUCACACUUCAAGAUGGGCCUGCGUCCGAUUAGCUUGUUGGUGAGGUAAUGGCUCACCAAGGCGAUAAUCGGUAGCUGGUCUGAGAGGAUGAUCGGCCACACUGGGACUGAGACACGGCCCAGACUCCUACGGGAGGCAGCAGUGGGGAAUAUUGGACAAUGGGCGCAAGCCUGAUCCAGCCAUGCCGCGUGAAUGAAGAAGGCCUUAGGGUUGUAAAGUUCUUUCACCCAUGAAGAUGAUGACGGUAAUGGGAGAAGAAGCCCCGGCUAACUCCGUGCCAGCAGCCGCGGUAAUACGGAGGGGGCAAGCGUUGUUCGGAAUUACUGGGCGUAAAGGGCGCGCAGGCUGUUUCGUUAGUCAGGCGUGAAAUCCCCGGGCUUAACCCGGGAACUGCGUUUGAUACUGCGGAACUAGAGAUCGGGAGAGGGUAGUGGAAUUCCCAGUGUAGAGGUGAAAUUCGUAGAUAUUGGGAAGAACACCAGUGGCGAAGGCGGCUACCUGGACCGAUACUGACGCUGAGGCGCGAAAGCGUGGGGAGCAAACAGGAUUA
rnacentral:rRNA from 1 species